CAGUGCGUGCUACAAUACAACGAGUACAAGUAAAACGCAACUGGCGUCAUUUGUAUUUGUGAUCAAGAACGAUUUUUUAAUUAAUAUCCCCUUUUUAUAUAAAUUAUGGAUUCUUCUGAUAUCAAAACCGAAGUGGAGGAAAUUAAAAUUAAGCCUGUAAAGCGAAAAAACAUAAGAAAGCGAUGCAAAUCUGAGGAUGAAGAUUCUGACGACGAGGAGCAAAUUUUGGCGAAAUUGGAGGAGGCAAAAUUAGUCCAGCAGUUACGUGAAAGGCCUCAAGGUGUCAGUGUGAUUGCGUUAGCUACAGGGGAGAAGAUCUCUUUAGAGGAAGAGCUAACUUUUAAAGACAAAGACCCAUUUAAGAUAAAGGCUGGUGGCAUGGUGAAUAUGCAGGCAUUGAAAACGGGUCAAGUUAAACAGGUUGAUGACGCGUAUGACACUGGUAUUGGUACUCAGUUCUCAGCGGAGACUAACAAACGUGACGAAGAUGAAGAAAUGAUGAAGUAUAUCGAAGAACAGUUGUCGAAAAGAAAAGAAGGCCAUAAAGGUGAUAAGAAGGAUUCUGACCAGAAUGAUGCCCUAAAAUACCUAUCCCCCGAGGAGGCUGCUUUGCUGUCGCUGCCCGAGCACUUGAGGUCUUCCUCUACCCAGAAGUCUGAGGAAAUGCUAUCUAAUCAAAUGCUAAGUGGCAUACCGGAGGUGGACCUUGGCAUUGAUGCAAAGAUAAAAAAUAUUGAAGCCACAGAAGAAGCCAAAAUGAAACUGUUAUGGGAGAGAAGAAACAAAAAGGAUGGUCCUUCUCAAUUUGUUCCAACUAAUAUGGCUGUGAACUUUGUUCAGCACAACCGCUUCAACAUUGAAGACAACAAGAAGAGGAAAGCGGAGAAACCGGCAGUUGCUAAAGUUGAGACUGCAAAUAUAAAUAUAGAUGAGAGUGUUGACAAGAUUGUAAAGAAAGCUAAGGGGGAGAGAGCAACAGAUGAUUAUCACUAUGAAAAGUUCAAAAAGCAAUUCAGACGAUACUGAACAUGCUAGAAUGAUGCUAGUUCAUCAUUGAGCAAUUUGUAUCUAUUCUGAUGCCAUCAAACAGUGAAGAUUGGAAAAAAAUUGCAGAUAUGUUUGACCAAAACUGGAAUUUCCCUCAUUGUAUCGGGGCACUCGAUGGCAAACAUUGCGUGUUACAAAAUCCCAUACAUGGAGGCAGUGACUACUACAAUUACAAGUCUGAUUACAGUAUUGUAUUAAUGGGAAUAGUACUCGUAGAUGCAAACUACUGUUUUAUAUAUGUGAAUGUUGGAACCCAAGGGAGGAUUUCAGAUGGUGGUGUUUUUAGAAACACAAAAUUCUACGAGAAACUGCAAGGAAAUGAAUUAGGAUUGCCACCAGAUGUCGCUCUUCCGUAUCGUCAGAUGGAAAUGCCUUUUGUCUUAGUGGCCGAAGAUGCAUUCCCUAUGCAAAAGCAUAUUAUGAAACCUUAUUCAGGACAUCAAGAGUCCAGAUCAGUAAAAAGACUAUUUAACUACAGAUUAAGUAGAGCUCGCAGAGUUGUGGAAAACGCCUUUGGAAUUCUAUCAUCCGUAUUCAGAGUUCUACGAAAACCAAUGCUUCUUGAACCAGAACGAGCUACAACAAUAAUAAUGACCUGUGUAUAUUUACACAACUUUUUAAGAAAAUCCAAGCUAUCCAGAUGUAUUUAUACACCCAGGGGAACUUUUGAUCAAGAUGAUCGUGGGACUGUGACGUUGGGUUCCUGGCGAAGAAUAAAUGAAGAAGACCCACUUGCUUCAUAUUUUCCAUUACAGAACGUUCCACGAAGAUCAGCUCUUAGUACUGAGCAAAUACGCAAUGAAUUUGCGGAAUAUUUUUCCACCGUAGGCCAAGUACCUUGGCAAAAUAGUUAUGCAUAAAAUUUAAGGCAUU